GACGUAGGGUGCAAGCGUUGUCCGGAUUUAUUGGGCGUAAAGAGCUCGUAGGCGGCUUGUUGCGUCGACUGUGAAAACCCGCGGCUUAACCGCGGGCUUGCAGUUGAUACGGGCAGGCUAGAGUUCGGUAGGGGAGACUGGAAUUCCUGGUGUAGCGGUGAAAUGCGCAGAUAUCAGGAGGAACACCAAUAGCGAAGGCAGCUCGCUGGGACGUUGCUGACACUGAGGCGCGAAAAGCGUGGGGGAGCGAACAGG
rnacentral:rRNA from 1 species